rnacentral:rRNA from 1 species
GAUGAACGCUGGCGGCGUGCCUAAUACAUGCAAGUCGAGCGAACAGACGAGGAGCUUGCUCCUCUGACGUUAGCGGCGGACGGGUGAGUAACACGUGGAUAACCUACCUAUAAGACUGGGAUAACUUCGGGAAACCGGAGCUAAUACCGGAUAAUAUAUUGAACCGCAUGGUUCAAUAGUGAAAGACGGUUUUGCUGUCACUUAUCGAUGGAUCCGCGCCGCAUUAGCUAGUUGGUAAGGUAACGGCUUACCAAGGCAACGAUGCGUAGCCGACCUGAGAGGGUGAUCGGCCACACUGGAGGUGGGACACGGUCCAGACGCCUGCGGGAGGCAGCAGUAGGGAAUCGUCCGCAAUGGGCGAAAGCAUGACGGAGCAACGCGGCGUGAGUGAUGAAGGUCUUCGGAGCGUAAAACUCUGUUAUUAGGGAAGAACAAAUGUGGAAGUAACUAUGCACGUCGUGACGGUACCUAAUCAGAAAGCCACGGCUAACUACGUG